rnacentral:lncRNA from 1 species
GGGAGGAAAAACUCUAUGGGGCGGGGCGGGGUCUGGGAGGUAGUUUUUUGUAAAGCUACAGAAAAUAGGAAAGAGACUUCAUCUCAAUGAUUUAGAAGACUUUAGAAGACUCUAAAAAUAAUCUACAGGAGGACCCAAGAGAUCCAACACGCUGGACUCCUCUAUAGGAUAUCAAAAGGAACUCCGGGUGAGGACGACAAGAGCUGAGCUCGGGUGCUUGCCUUCUGCACUCUCGGGAGGAGGCACCAGCAUGGGCACCCUUCACAGUUCGGGCCCCUCACUCACAAACGUCUGGCACAUGGAAACAAGCUGGCAAAAAGAUUGUUUUUUUCUUCUGUACUUUUUGUUAUAAGCCUGUGGUGAAGUGUCCAUAUCUGGCAUAAAUGAAUGUGAGUGGUCUUGGGAAUCUAAAUAUAACAUGUUUCUAAGUUACA